rfam:Eutrema salsugineum unplaced genomic scaffold scaffold_6, whole genome shotgun sequence.
UGAUCUUGGGGAGUGCACCUCGGUAUAAAGUACUCACUAAACCGUUCCCAAGCCUCACUAAAGCUUUCGUUGUUGUGUUGCGUGAAACUUGAGAUCUGAUUCCUGAGCUU